rnacentral:misc_RNA from 1 species
GUGAGUCAUCGAAUCUUUGAACGCAUAUUGCGCUCUUUGGUAUUCCGAAGAGCAUGCUUGUUUGAGUAUCAGUAAACACCUCAACCUCUCUUUUUGACAAAAAAAGGAGGGUGGACUUGAGCUAUCCCAACGACCUUCACCGGUAGGCGGGCGGCUUGAAAUGCAGGUGCAGCUGGACUUUUAUCUGAGCUAAAAGCAUAUCUAUUUAGUCCUCGUCAAACAGGAUUAUUACUUUUGCUGCAGCUAACAUAAAGGAUAAUUGUCCUCUUUGCUGACUGAUGCAGGAUUUUACGACACUUUAUGUGUUGUUCAACUCGAUCUCAAAUCAAGUAAGACUACCCGCUGAACUUAAGCAUAUCAAUAAGCGGAGGA